rnacentral:piRNA from 1 species
UAACGAGGUCGCCGCCCAGGGCAUCGCUA